rnacentral:tRNA from 1 species
GAAGGCAUAGCUCAAGUGGUAGAGCGCAUACUUAGCAUGCCUGAGGUCUUGGGUUCAAUCCCCAUUACCUCCU